ACGUGGCAAAAUUCAAGCCUCCUUAUCCCCUUCACCCUCACAGAGCUGCCAUGGCGAAAUUGGGUUUUGCAAUGUGCGUGAAAUCUUCAAUUCCACUCCAUCACACUCCCUCAUCUUGCUCAAAUUCAGGCAGCGGCGCCGCUAUAACAAGGCGAAAAUCACUAAUCUUCACUACUUCUUUCCUCGCUACAUAUUUGCAUUGCCAUCAAAAUCCAAAUCUCUCCACUCCUCCACCUGCCAUCGCUCAACAAUUCGAUGAUCUCGAUCAAGAAGAAACUCGUGUUGUUCAAAUUUUCCAGGAAACUUCAUCUUCUGUUGUGUACAUAAAGGAUAUCGAAUUGGCUGAAAUUCCAAAGAGCAGUUCUGGAAAUAAUAUUGGUGAAGAUGAGGAUGAUAAUGCAGAAGUGGAAGGGACUGGUUCUGGUUUCAUUUGGGAUAAAUUUGGUCACAUUGUGACGAACUAUCACGUGGUUUCCAAACUGGCAACGGACACGAGUGGAUUACAACGUUGUAAGGUAUAUUUAGUCGAUUCUGGAGGCAAAAGUAUCACUAGGGAAGGCAAGAUAGUUGGCUUUGAUCCAGACUAUGAUCUUGCUGUUCUCAAGGUUGAUGCGGUAGGAAACGAGUUAAAGCCAGUGGCAAUCGGCACAUCCAGCGCGUUACAAGUAGGGCAGAGCUGUUUUGCAAUCGGAAAUCCAUAUGGAUACGAGAAUACUCUUACGACCGGGGUUAUCAGUGGAUUGGGUAGAGAGAUACCCUCCCCCAAUGGGAGAGCCAUUCGAGGAGCAAUCCAAACAGAUGCUGCUAUCAAUGCUGUCGAGGCUACGUCUCUUCCACCACUGCAGGAAACUCAGGUGGACCUCUGAUCAAUUCAUAUGGUCAUGUUAUUGGAGUGAAUACAGCUACCUUCACUCGCAGAGGCAGUGGAAUGUCUUCCGGUGUGAACUUUGCAAUACCCAUCGACACAGCUCUGCGCGUCGUGCCUACCCUCAUCGUGUAUGGAACCCCGUAUGCAGAUCGUUACUGAUAGAGGCAGAGCCAAGCCAUGACCACCGUAUUUAGGUUGCGUUAUAUAUUUUCUCUAGCACUUUUGAAAUGUAUAUGAAUAUAAUCUCAUACAUCCAAGCUUGUUUCUAAAUAUAUCAUCCCAUUCGUCGAUAGCUCGCCACGAGACACAUUAUAACCGCGACGAGAUAUCGACUCUUGCAUUUGUACAAACUUGUAUAAUGACAAUUGGAGAUCUCUUUCAAUACCAACCUGAUUCAUA